rnacentral:rRNA from 1 species
GAUGAACGCUGGCGGCGUGCCUAAUACAUGCAAGUCGAGCGAACAGACGAGGAGCUUGCUCCUUUGACGUUAGCGGCGGACGGGUGAGUAACACGUAUGUAACCUACCUAUAAGACUGGGAUAACUUCGGGAAACCUGAUCUAAUACCGGAUAAUAUUUCGAACCGCAUGGUUCGAUAGUGAAAGAUCGCUUUGCUAUCACUUAUAGAUGGACCUGCGCCGUAUUAGCUAGUUGGUAAGGUAACGGCUUACCAAGGCAACGAUACGUAGCCGACCUGAGAGGGUGAUCGGCCACACUGGAACUGAGACACGGUCCAGACUCCUACGGGAGGCAGCAGUAGGGAAUCUUCCGCAAUGGGCGAAAGCCUGACGGAGCAACGCCGCGUGUGUGAUGAAGGUCUUCGGAUCGUAAAACUCUGUUAUUAGGGAAGAACAAACGUGUAAGUAACUGUGCCCGUCUUGACGGUACCUAAUCAGAAAGCCACGGCUAACUACGUG